rnacentral:rRNA from 1 species
GACGAACGCUGGCGGCGUGCCUAAUACAUGCAAGUCGAGCGAAUCUUUUAAAGCUUGCUUUAAAAGAUUAGCGGCGGACGGGUGAGUAACACGUGGGCAACCUGCCUGUAAGACUGGGAUAACUCCGGGAAACCGGGGCUAAUACCGGAUGAUUCAUUUCCUCUCAUGAGGAAAUGCUAAAAGACGGCGUAAGCUGUCACUUACAGAUGGGCCCGCGGCGCAUUAGCUAGUUGGUGAGGUAAUGGCUCACCAAGGCCACGAUGCGUAGCCGACCUGAGAGGGUGAUCGGCCACACUGGGACUGAGACACGGCCCAGACUCCUACGGGAGGCUG